AGCCCUGUAGUCUAGUGGCCAAGGAUACCGGUCUUUGGAACCGGAGACGGCGGUUCGAAUCCGCCCAGGGCUA
rnacentral:tRNA from 1 species